rnacentral:misc_RNA from 1 species
CAACCCCUCAGCUCACGCUGGUAUUGAGCCGGCCGUCCCUGACGGCCCGCUUUAAAGUGACGUGCUCUGCUGACCCCGCUCCGACCAGCGCAUAGUAAGCUUUACUUGUGUGACCCGUUGCGAAGGCCCGGCCUGAACAAAACCCAACUUGUG